UCCGGUUUGGCACCGGCAGUCCUCCCAGAGUCCCCGACUUGACUCGCUGGCAACUGGGAGCGGGGGUUGCGCUCGUUGCGGGACUUAACCCAACAUCUCACGACACGAGCUGACGACAGCCAUGCAGCACCUCUAUGGCGGCCCCCGAAGGGGAAGACCUAUUUCUAGGACGGUCCGCCACAGUUCAAGCCCAGGUAAGGUUCUUCGCGUUGCAUCGAAUUAAACCACAUGCUCCACCGCUUGUGCGGGCCCCCGUCAAUUCCUUUGAGUUUCAGUCUUGCGACCGUACUCCCCAGGCGGAGUGCUUAAUGUGUUGACUACGGCACAGCAGGGGUCGAUACCCGCUACACCAAGCACUCAUCGUUUACGGCGUGGACUAC
rnacentral:misc_RNA from 1 species